AAAGACAUGUUACUGUACGAUCACAUAUGUUAAGCAACGUCGAGCCUGGUCAGUACCUGGAUGGGUGACCGCUUGGGAAUACCAGGUGCUGUAAU